UGUGGGAUUCGCCGGCGAGCUGUAGGGAUCCGCUGACGAAGACGAGGACGCCGCCGGCAGGGCCAGAGGGCUGGCAGUCGACGGUGGAGAUGGCGUGGGCGCACUGCUGGAAGGGGAGGGAAGUGAGCUUGGCGACGAUCGCGGCGGCGCCCUGGAUCUUGUCGCCUUCGAAGGUGAGCAUGGAGGCGUCCUGGUACAGGCCCCCCAGCGCCGCCCGGUUCCCAUCGAACGUCCGGUAGUAGUGCUCCACGAAAGCCUUCGCUACCGCGUCCGGAUCCAUCGCCGCCGCGGCC
rnacentral:lncRNA from 1 species